rnacentral:rRNA from 1 species
UUAAGCGACUAAGCGUACACGGUGGAUGCCCUGGCAGUCAGAGGCGAUGAAGGACGUGCUAAUCUGCGAAUAAGCGUCGGUAAGGUGAUAUGAAACCGUUAUAACCGGCGAUUUCCGAAUGGGGAAACCCAGUGUGAUUCGUCACACUAUCGUUAAGUGAAUACAUAGCUUAACGAAGCGAACCGGGGGAACUGAAACAUCUAAGUACCCCGAGGAAAAGAAAUCAACCGAGAUUCCCCCAGUAGCGGCGAGCGAACGGGGAACAGCCCAGAACCUGAAUCAGUUUGUGUGUUAGUGGAAGCGUCUGGAAAGUCGCAGGGUACAGGGUGAUACUCCCGUACACUAAAAUGCACAUGCUGUGAGUUCGAAGAGUAGGGCGGGACACGUGGUAUCCUGUCUGAAUAUGGGGGGAACCAUCCUCCAAGGCUAAAUACUCCUGACUGACCGAUAGUGAACCAGUACCGUGAGGGAAAGGCGAAAAGAACCCCGGCGAGGGGAGUGAAACAGAACCUGAAACCGUGUACGUACAAGCAGUGGGAGCCUCUUUUAUGGGGUGACUGCGUACCUUUUGUUAUAAUGGGUCAGCGACUUAUAUUCUGUAGCAAGGUUAACCGUAUAGGGGAGCCGCAGGGAAACCGAGUCUUAACUGGGCGUUAAGUUGCAGGGUAUAGACCCGAAACCCGGUGAUCUAGCCAUGGGCAGGUUGAAGGUUUGGGUAACACUAACUGGAGGACCGAACCGACUAAUGUUGAAAAAUUAGCGGAUGACUUGUGGCUGGGGGUGAAAGGCCAAUCAAACCGGGAGAUAGCUGGUUCUCCCCGAAAGCUAUUUAGGUAGCGCCUCGUGAACUCAUCUUCGGGGGUAGAGCACUGUUUCGGCUAGGGGGUCAUCCCGACUUACCAACCCGAUGCAAACUACGAAUACCGAAGAAUGUUAUCACGGGAGACACACGGCGGGUGCUAACGUCCGUCGUGAAGAGGGAAACAACCCAGACCGCCAGCUAAGGUCCCAAAGUCAUGGUUAAGUGGGAAACGAUGUGGGAAGGCACAGACAGCCAGGAUGUUGGCUUAGAAGCAGCCAUCAUUUAAAGAAAGCGUAAUAGCUCACUGGUCGAGUCGGCCUGCGCGGAAGAUGUAACGGGGCUAAACCAUGCACCGAAGCUGCGGCAGCGACACUCAGGUGUUGUUGGGUAGGGGAGCGUUCUGUAAGCCGUUGAAGGUGGCCUGUGAGGGUUGCUGGAGGUAUCAGAAGUGCGAAUGCUGACAUAAGUAACGAUAAAGCGGGUGAAAAGCCCGCUCGCCGGAAGACCAAGGGUUCCUGUCCAACGUUAAUCGGGGCAGGGUGAGUCGACCCCUAAGGCGAGGCCGAAAGGCGUAGUCGAUGGGAAACAGGUUAAUAUUCCUGUACUCGGUGUUACUGCGAAGGGGGGACGGAGAAGGCUAUGUUAGCCGGGCGACGGUUGUCCCGGUUUAAGCAUGUAGGCGGAGAGUUUAGGUAAAUCCGGACUCUUAUUUAACGCUGAGGUGUGAUGACGAGGCACUACGGUGCUGAAGUAACAAAUGCCCUGCUUCCAGGAAAAGCCUCUAAGCAUCAGGUAACAUCAAAUCGUACCCCAAACCGACACAGGUGGUCAGGUAGAGAAUACCAAGGCGCUUGAGAGAACUCGGGUGAAGGAACUAGGCAAAAUGGUGCCGUAACUUCGGGAGAAGGCACGCUGAUACCAGGUGAAGUGACUUGCUCACGGAGCUGAAAUCAGUCGAAGAUACCAGCUGGCUGCAACUGUUUAUUAAAAACACAGCACUGUGCAAACACGAAAGUGGACGUAUACGGUGUGACGCCUGCCCGGUGCCGGAAGGUUAAUUGAUGGGGUUAUCCGUAAGGAGAAGCUCUUGAUCGAAGCCCCGGUAAACGGCGGCCGUAACUAUAACGGUCCUAAGGUAGCGAAAUUCCUUGUCGGGUAAGUUCCGACCUGCACGAAUGGCGUAAUGAUGGCCAGGCUGUCUCCACCCGAGACUCAGUGAAAUUGAACUCGCUGUGAAGAUGCAGUGUACCCGCGGCAAGACGGAAAGACCCCGUGAACCUUUACUAUAGCUUGACACUGAACAUUGAGCCUUGAUGUGUAGGAUAGGUGGGAGGCUUUGAAGCGUGGACGCCAGUCUGCGUGGAGCCAACCUUGAAAUACCACCCUUUAAUGUUUGAUGUUCUAACGUAGACCCGUGAUCCGGGUUGCGGACAGUGUCUGGUGGGUAGUUUGACUGGGGCGGUCUCCUCCCAAAGAGUAACGGAGGAGCACGAAGGUUAGCUAAUCCUGGUCGGACAUCAGGAGGUUAGUGCAAUGGCAUAAGCUAGCUUGACUGCGAGCGUGACGGCGCGAGCAGGUGCGAAAGCAGGUCAUAGUGAUCCGGUGGUUCUGAAUGGAAGGGCCAUCGCUCAACGGAUAAAAGGUACUCCGGGGAUAACAGGCUGAUACCGCCCAAGAGUUCAUAUCGACGGCGGUGUUUGGCACCUCGAUGUCGGCUCAUCACAUCCUGGGGCUGAAGUAGGUCCCAAGGGUACGGCUGUUCGCCGUUUAAAGUGGUACGCGAGCUGGGUUUAGAACGUCGUG